UAUAAAAGUUUAGAGCCACUUCUGUCAGUUGAUUGUAGGUUGGAAGUCUAUGUUCAACUUGAAUCU
rnacentral:sRNA from 1 species